UCUGUUGUGCUGCUGCCUGCCUCAGAGUUAGUCUGUAUUUAUCUUGGAUGCACAUCUAUGUAAGAUGUCUUGGCAACAUAAUCAACGCCUAUCUGCGUUGUAUAUUUUAAUCUGCAAGUGCAAGAGCAAGAUGUUAGAAAGGAUGUGUAUCUGGUGGAUUUGAUCCUUAGCUCCCAUUUUCUUCAGUUCAGCUUCUGUCAGGUGGAGCAAAUCCUGGAACCGGCCCAACAAAAAAGAAGAUGGUUGAGAAAAUAUUAACUUUGUUCAUUUUUUAAGAAAUAAUAUUCUUUUAAAAAAAUGAUCCAACAUUUUAUUGCAAUAAAUUAAAAGCAUCCAGAACAUAAUCCCAGAACAUAACAAACACUGCUCAUUUUUCCAUAGGUACUGCUAAGAAUUAACACCUAACAAAUGAAUGUAUUGCCAAAAUACAAUGCUAUCAAAAGGUUGUUUUUCAAUAGCUAAUUCUUGUUACUUAUUUGUACCACCCUCCUAACCAUUUGAAAGCACUGUGAGAAACUCUUUUAGUUCAUUAUCACUUUUCACUUUUCUCUCUCUCUCUCUGUGCCUUGUCUCUGAGGAUCAUUAAAAGACACAUUCUUUGGAA